CGUAGCGGUAGGACGGGAGUGGGACACCCACGGGUGUGCUGGAGUCUAACCAGUCUGCUAACCCACUUCCGUUCUGCCACCAUA
rnacentral:antisense_RNA from 1 species